GAACAUAGUUGGCUGAGACAUCUGUAACCCAUUGAUCUCCAGAUGGCUGAUCUGGUUGGUUAGGCUGGUGUCCCCUUCCUCCCUCACUGCUCCAUGUGUGUCCCCUCCCAAAGCAGUUCACUCAAUCGAAGAAAGUGACCUUCCAGGAAUAGGGGAGGACCGGUCUUCAGCCAAGGGUAUAUGAGUAACUGUGUUCCCUGCUACAACUUUUAAACAAGCUCUCAAGGUCCAUUUUUACUUAUUUUUUCAUUCAGAGGCAGGGAGGACAAAGUCCUCUAGAGUACAGACUUUAUCACAAUGUUUCUGAUACAAUGAUACAGAAUUUAACAUUUGU
rnacentral:snRNA from 1 species